rnacentral:lncRNA from 1 species
GUGGAUACGGCCAUGGAGGUGGCGGUGGAGGCGGGGGUGGUGAGGGCGGAGGCGCCGGUUCUGGGUACGGAUCUGGGGAGGGAUCCGGCUACGGGGGCGGCGCCGGUGGGUACGGUGGCGGCAGUGGCGGAGGAGGUGGUGGCGGCCAAGGUGGCGGUGGUGCAGGCUAUGGGCAUGGGUCCGGUGAGGGUUCUGGCUAUGGCGGUGGUGCUAGUGGAGGCGGUGGCGGUCACGGAGGUGGUGGCGGUGGCGGCCAAGGUGGUGGGUCUGGCGGGGGCUCAGGCUACGGCUCCGGGUCUGGCAGUGGGUAUGGCCAGGGUGGCGCAUAUGGUGGAGGGUAUGGAAGCGGCGGCGGCGGUGGCGGAGGAGGUGGCCAAGGUGGAGGCUCUGGCUAUGGUUCCGGGUCUGGCUCUGGAUACGGUUACGGUUCCGGCGGUGGUUUCGGAAAUGGACACCACUGAUGCCACUUCCAUGGAAAGCUCAAGUGUUCGAGAGAAUAUAGUAAAAUCUCUUCCGUGAGUGACAGUGAUGGGUUUGUUCGUCACUGAUAUAUAUAUAUAUAUACUUACUGAAGGUGCAAGUUUCAGUAUAUGUAAUUAAUAUUGUACUGUGGUGGCAGUUGCUGCUUCACCUAUUUGACCAAGUCCAGUAAAUAAGCGAUCUUUACAAAGAGAUCAUACUCUUGUAUCCAUUAAUUUCUACAACCCCAAUGAUUAUAUACAGUUCAUGAUGGAUGUCAGACAAACCAUUGGCUGAACUCUGAUUCCGAUUAUCGAUGUUCUGCAACAUUUUGCAGUUGCCACACAAUUUAUGAACAUAUGGUUUCAAUCCAUAAACCAGCGUGCGCGUGGAUAUUGAACCCUCAUCCUUUUUUGCCUGGCUUGAUUCGGCACUUGUCAACUCACUUUUGUGCAAUUUAGAAGCUGGUUUAUUCUGUUGGUGCCACCCAGAACUCUGCAGCUUACAACUUUCCUGUGCAAGUGCAAACUGCAUGCUCUGCUAGUCGUGAGGUAAACUACUUGAGAAACUGGAAGUGCCAAAACUCGUAUUUCAAAUGACAAUUGCACGAUUAUAUCCAGAAUUCCCAU